UACGGGGGGAGCAAGCGUUGUUCGGAUUUACUGGGCGUACAGGGAGCGUAGGCGGUUGGGUAAGCCCUCCGUGAAAUCUCCGGGCCUAACCCGGAAAGUGCGGAGGGGACUGCUCGGCUAGAGGAUGGGAGAGGAGCGCGGAAUUCCCGGUGUAGCGGUGAAAUGCGUAGAUAUCAGGUGGAACACCAGUGGCGAAGGCGGCUUUCUGGACGGUAACUGACGCUGAGACGCGAAAGCGUGGGGAGCAAACAGG
rnacentral:rRNA from 1 species